GACCCAGUGGUGAAACGUAUCGCACCCGUAGCCGGUUAUGGCUUUCAAGGUUUGCACGGGAGCUCCUGGUUCGAAUCCAGGCUGGGUCG